UCGGGAAUUUUGGGCAAUGGGCGAAAGCCUGACCCAGCAACGCCGCGUGAGGGAUGAAGUAUUUCGGUAUGUAAACCUCGAAAGAAUGGGAAGAAUAAAUGACGGUACCAUUUAUAAGCUCCGGCUAACUACGUGCCAGCAGCCGCGGUAAUACGUAGGGAGCAAGCGUUGUUCGGAUUUACUGGGCGUAAAGGGCGCGUAGGCGGCGCGGUAAGUCACUUGUGAAAUCUCUGAGCUUAACUCAGGACGGCCAAGUGAUACUGCUGUGCUAGAGUGCGGAAGAGGCAACCGGAAUUCUUGGUGUAGCGGUGAAAUGCGUAGAUAUCUAGAGGAACACCUGAGGCGAAGGCGGGUUGCUGGGCCGACACUGACGCUGAUGCGCGAAAGCCAGGGGAGCAAACG
rnacentral:rRNA from 1 species